rnacentral:lncRNA from 1 species
ACUCUGCUUCAACAAAAAUGGAGUGCUCAAGUGAAAAUUUUUGCAGAGUUUUGAGACAGAGUUUGGAGCUUAGAGAAGAACGUAUCUGGAGGUCCCCUUUUAUAGACAGAGAGCGUAACUGAUUGACAGCGACGUCUGUAACUGCCUGAUAGUGGGCCGUUCAGAGUCAUGCGGAGUUUGUUACGGAGAGUAGUGGCAUCAGGGGC